rnacentral:rRNA from 1 species
AUAUCAAUAGGCGGAGGAAAAGAAACUAACAAGGAUUCCCCUAGUAACUGCGAGUGAAGCGGGAAGAGCUCAAAUUUAAAAUCUGGCGUGCCUCUGGUCGUCCGAGUUGUAGUCUGGAGAAGCGUUUUCCGUGUUGGACCGUGUACAAGUCCCUUGGAACAGGGCGUCAUAGAGGGUGAGAAUCCCGUCUUUGACACGGACUACCAAUGCUCUGUGAUGCGCUCUCAAAGAGUCGAGUUGUUUGGGAAUGCAGCUCAAAAUGGGUGGUAAAUUCCAUCUAAAGCUAAAUACAGGCGAGAGACCGAUAGCGAACAAGUACCGUGAGGGAAAGAUGAAAAGCACUUUGGAAAGAGAGUUAAACAGUACGUGAAAUUGCUGAAAGGGAAACGCUUGAAGUCAGUCGCGUCUGCCAGGACUCAGCCUUGCUUCUGCUUGGUGCACUUUCUGGUUGGAUGGGCCAACAUCAAUUUUGACUGUUGGAGAAAGGCCUUGGGAAUGUGGCACCUUCGGGUGUGUUAUAGCCCUCGGUUGUAUGCAACGGUUGGGAUUGAGGACCGCAGCACGCCUUCAUGGCCGGGGUUCGCCCACGUACGUGCUUAGGAUGUUGGCAUAAUGGCUUUAAGCGACCCGUCUUGAAACACGGACCAAGGAGUCUAACAUGCCUGCGAGUGUUUGGGUGGAAAACCCAUGCGCGUAAUGAAAGUGAUAGCUGAGAUCCUCUCAUCAGGAGCAUCAGCGCCUGGACUUGAUCUACGGAGACGGUUCUACGGUAGAGCAUGUAUGUUGGGACCCGAAGAUGGUGAACUAUGCUGAUAGGGUGAGCAGAGGAAACUCUGGUGAGCUCGGUAACGAAUCUGACGUGCAAUCGAUCGUCAAUUGGGGCUAUAUAGGGGGGCGCGA